rnacentral:lncRNA from 10 species
GAUGGGGUCUUGCCUUUUUGCCCAAGGUAAAGUCUAGUACUGCUCAAACUCCUGGGCUCAAGUGAUCCUCCUGCCUCAGUCUCCAGAAUAGCUGGGAUUAGGGGCAUGUGCCAUCACACUGAACUAAAAGAUGCACUUUAAAUAUAAAAAACACAAGUAGGCAGAAAGUGACUGCAAAAACCAUACAUAUAUAGACAACCCACAAUCAUAGUUGGAGAUUUUAACCUCUCUCUCUCCAAUUCUUAGAACAAUAGACCAAAAACAUCAAUAGACAACCCAGAAUCAUAGUAGGAGAUUUUAACCUCUCUCUCCGAUUCUUAGAACAAUAGACCAAAAACAGCAAUAGACAAUCCACAAUCAUAGUCGGAGAUUUUAACCUCUCUCUCUCUCCAAUUCUUAGAACAAUAGACCAAAAACAUCAGCAGACAAUCCACAAUCAUAGUCAGAGAUUUUAACCUCUCUCUCUCCAAUUCUUAGAACAAUAGACCAAAAACAUCAAUAGACAACCCACAAUCAUAGUCGGAGAUUUUAACCUCUCUCUCUCCAUUUCUUAGAACAAUAGACCAAAAACAUCAAUAGACAAUACACAAUCAUAGUCGGAGAUUUUAACCUCUCUCUCUGCAAUUCUUAGAACAAUCGACCAAAAACAUCAAUAGACAACGCACAAUCAUAGUCGGAGAUUUUAACCUCUCUCUCUCCAAUUCUUAGAAUAGACCAAAAACAUCAAUAGACAACCCACAAUCAUAGUCGGAGAUUUUAACCUCUC